AGGGGAACAAAAUGUUUACAAAGACAUAGAAAGAUGUGGAAAGCAGUAAAAAGUGUUUAGAAAGGGUGAACAAAGAUGUAGAAAGGGUGUACAAAGGGUGUACAAAAAGUGCACAAAGGGUAUCAAAAUGGUGUAUAAAGGGUGUUCAAAAGGAGUACACCUAUUCUGCAUCGUUUUACAAAAUAUGUAAAAAGGUUGACUUUGCAUGAUGUUAUCAGAAACAAUAAUGCAAUGCUGCAAGAGAGAAAAAGGAGAGGAGCCGCAAGAGAGAAAAAGUAUCGGUCAUUUUUCCGAAAAGUCCUGGCUCAGCCCAGACCAGGCAGGCGAACGGGUAGCGGCCCUUUUCGAAAGUCCUGGCUCAGCCCAGACCAGGCAGGCGGACGUGUAGUGGGCCUUUUCGAAAGUCCUGGCUCAGCCCAGACCAGGCAGGCGGACUUGUUGCGGCCCUUUAUUCGAAUUUUCCCAUUUCAUGCCUAGGAUCAGAAUCCUGUGGUGUUAUCCCAUGCUAAUGUAUUCAGAGCGUAAGCUUGCUUUGAGCUCCUAAGUCAUCCCUUUGAUGAUCAAGAUGAGCCUAAUCGAUCACAACAAUAAGAUCUAUAUAUCCAUUCGAUCAAUUUCUAGUUUAGAGCAAGUAAGUUUCGAUCCCUUUUUUCUCUUUCGUUCUUAGUUUGAGG
rnacentral:lncRNA from 1 species